rnacentral:tRNA from 1 species
GGCUGUAUAGCUUAAUUAAAGCAAUGCUUUGAAGGGGCAUAGAUAUGUUAAUUAUAGCCA